AGGCGGUGCGGGGCGAUACGGUCCAUCCCGAAAAACCUCAGGUGACUGCAGCAGAAGGAGAUGUCGUGACACUCCGCUGUAACUACAAAACCAGCAGUAGUCUUGGUUACUAUCUGUACUGGUACCGCCAGCACACGAACCAAACGCUGCAGUACAUCCUGCGGAGGGGAACGAAGGACUACAGCGCUGCCAGUGAUAACGCACCUUUUGCCGAGGACAGGUUUUCGUCCCAGGUCAGUGACAGCGCCACCGCUUUAAACAUCAGCGUCCUGGAGCUGGCAGACACCGCGGUGUAUCACUGCGCCCUGCAGAGGCACGGCGAGACACUCACACGGGAGGGCG